rnacentral:rRNA from 1 species
UACAGAGGGUGCGAGCGUUAAUCGGAAUUACUGGGCGUAAAGCGUGCGUAGACGGUUAUGUAAGUCAGGUGUGAAAGCCCCGGGCUCAACCUGGGAAUUGCAUUUGAGACUACAUAGCUAGGGUGCGGAAGAGGGAAGCGGAAUUUCCGGUGUAGCGGUGAAAUGCGUAGAUAUCGGAAGGAACAUCAGUGGCGAAAGCGGCUUCCUGGUCCAGCACCGACGUUCAGGCACGAAAGCGUGGGGAGCAAACAGG